UAGUAGAGACGGGGUUUCACUGUGUUAGCCAGGAUGGUCUCGAUCUCCUGACCUCGUGAUCCGCCCGCCUCGGCCUCCCAAAGUUCUGGGAUUACAGGCGUGAGCCACCGCUCCUGGCCCCCAGCGCCCACUCUCUUAACUUAUGCUGGUCUCUUUGUCUGACAGGCCAAGUAUAAGGAGCGAGGGACGGUCUUGGCUGAGGACCAGCUAGCCCAGAUGUCAAAGCAGUUGGACAUGUUCAAGACCAACCUGGAGGAAUUUGCCAGCAAACACAAGCAGGAGAUCCGGAAGAAUCCUGAGUUCCGUGUGCAGUUCCAGGACAUGUGUGCAACCAUUGGUGUGGAUCCACUGGCCUCUGGAAAAGGAUUUUGGUCUGAGAUGCUGGGCGUGGGGGACUUCUAUUACGAACUAGGUGUCCAAAUUAUCGAAGUGUGCCUGGCGCUGAAGCAUCGGAAUGGAGGUGAGGGUGGCUAGGUCCUGUGAACUGGACUCUGGACUUCUCUGAGAGGGAGAAAACCGUAAAAGAUUAUCGUUUCCAUCCUGCAGUCUACAGGCCUCUAAGGACUUGAGAGACAUCUUAGCUGUUUCAUGCAGUUGAAUCCAUGGCAAGUCUCCAUGGCCAAGGGUAAAUAGAAUUACCUGAACGAUUGUCUCUGUUCUCCAAAGAUCUUUGGCCAGGAAGGUCUAGUCCCUAGUCAGUACAGAAAAUAGUAGGGAGGUAGGAAAUAGGCCUUUUCCCCUGAUGUCUGAUGUGUCUGGAGUGAUUUUCUCAUUAGUAUCUAUAGUCCUGCACUGUCUCUCCGACGUAUGGGAAUGCCAACUGA
rnacentral:sRNA from 1 species